GAUGAACGCUAGCGGCAGGCUUAAUACAUGCAAGUCGAGGGGCAGCAUGAUUGUAGCAAUACAAUUGAUGGCGACCGGCAAACGGGUGCGGAACACGUACACAACCUUCCAACAAGUGGGGGAUAGCCCAGAGAAAUUUGGAUUAAUACCCCGUAACAUAGCGAUGUGGCAUCACAUUGCUAUUAUAGAUUUUUCGCUUGUUGAUGGGUGUGCGGCUGAUUAGAUAGUUGGCGGGGUAACGGCCCACCAAGUCUACGAUCAGUAGCUGAUGUGAGAGCAUGAUCAGCCACACGGGCACUGGGACACGGGCCCGACUCCUACGGGAGGCAGCAGUAAGGAAUAUUGGACAAUGGACGCAAGUUUGAUCCAGCCAUGCCGCGUGAAGGAUUAAGGUCCUCUGGAUUGUAAACUUCUUUUAUAAGGGACGAAAAAAGGCUUUUCUAAGUCGUCUGACGGUACCUUAUGAAUAAGCACCGGCUAACUCCGUGCCAGCAGCCGCAGUAAUAC
rnacentral:rRNA from 1 species